AAUAAUGUACUUUCAUCAGCUUACUAAGUGGAUAACUGGGUACCAAAGAAAAAAUGACAACGAAAUCUGUCAAUUUAAAAAAAGCCAUUUAACAAAAGACCAGUUUAUAUAUUUCUUUGAAUUAUGUCAUCAAAAUUUAAACAUACAAAUCACAUUCCCAAGCCCAAAAGAAUCUUUCUAAACAAAUAAAAUACAGACAUAUAGACAAGUUCAGAACCCAAAAUGAUUGUAAAACGUUGUUUAAAUCACAGUAAAUGAUAGCUCAGAAGAAAUAAAGCGAAAGCAUGAUGGUUCCAUCCGACUGUCCAGGUCGGAGGAGCGCAAUGCCGGAGGGCUGGGUGAUUAAGCUGGUUCUUCGCGCCUCUUAACCCCUUUUCCCACCCCCCACCCCCCACCCCCCCCCCAGUGCAGGGCACGCACCCGAACAGCCUGGCAGCCCGUCAGGCUGCCACCAGUGUUCGCACAGGGCACCCACCCUCCCAUGCCGCCAGGUAAGGGUUCCUGAGCAAAUGCUGAAACGGCAGCAGGCGGGUUAGUAUCCUUAAAACACCCUCCUCCUCCCAAUGCCCACAGCUGGGAAUGACAGGCACAGCCUCCGGGAUGUCAGGGAUUCUGGGAAGCAAGGCACAGGCCCAGGUUGUGAUGAAGGCGCUCUGGCUGUGGUCCUUAGAGACUCUGAAUGUGCUACACAUCCCACCGACUGUUCAAGUGACCUUCCACACAGCUAACUGGCUCUGAAACCUUCCCAGACAUACAGCACACAUGCACAUGUGAUUACAUAUGGUAACGAUGAGAGUGAGCAAUGCGGAACCCUGUUUUUAAAAGAAACUCAGCUGAAUGACUAUAGGACGCAUUUUAUAAGUCUAAUAAUUUGGGAAGAGGAAAAGCGUGCCAAUUCUUAAGAACAGUCAGCAUUAACUAUGUCUACUGAGCACAGUUUCCUUUCAAUGUCUCCUUACAACCUAGUUUAUGGAUCAAACCACCCCUCCUACGAAGGGUGGCACUCAAUGUACAUGGAUGUAAACGUAGAUUCUGCAUCCGUACCACAUGCUCCUCCAUGAGACAGCUCCACCACCGCCCGAACUUCUCACAGGGCUGAGCCCAUCUCGGCGAGGAGACAUCCUCAUGCGGCAUUUCAGACUUUUGUUCCCAAAUACCAUGCUCUUAAUUUUUAAUAGAACUACCAACUGGCACUUUCCUCCCAUGAAUUAGCAUAUUCUUUAUAAUGAACCAAUUAGUGGAGAGAAGAGUAAAUAACAUUUAGCAAAGUCCAUGAGGGUGACUUUUUAGUUUUUAUACGAUUAGAACAGGAAACUUUAAAAAUAUAUUAAGUCUGAUGAAAAGCAUAAAGUAAAAUAAUUCUACUCUCUGGUAAUCCUGGCGUCAAUAAAUAAACCCACAUCCAACUUCAGGAGGAUUUGCCCAGCACUCCCCUCAUCUCCUCCGCCCGGUCUCUCCCUGUGCCGCCGGGUAACUCACUCCUGCACUUUGCCGCUCCACGGUGGAGCUGAGCAAACGGGAGCCAGCACCUGGCUUCCUGCCUCCUGGCUUCCCGGUGCUCAGGGCCCCGGAGACUCAGAGCCCCCGGGACGGGUGUGAGCGCCUGGGAAGCGCUGAGUGGCCUUGGUGUAAGUCAGAGCGCCAUUUAUAGGUGAUACCAUGGCAACCUGGAAUGUCUCCAAGGAAAGCUGUUUUGGUCUCAGUUCCUUGAUGUCAGACCUACUUUGGUGGUUGUUUUUGACAACAGUUGUAGAGUUUACAUAUCCAUGAGUAAAAUACUUCUUAAAAACACCCUAAUGUGUACAGUUCAUGCACUGAUAGUUCAAAAGUCUCCAAAUGGAGAUACUAGACAAGAAUUAUUUUAUUGUAAAUUAAUAAGUGAGUAUUUACUCCCUUUAAAUCACAUAUU